GGAGGAAAAGAACUAACAAGGAUUCCCCUAGUAACUGCGAGUGAAGCGGGAAAAGCUCAAAUUUAAAAUCUGGCGGCCUUUGGUUGUCCGAGUUGUAAUCUAGAGAAGUGAUGCCCGCGCUGGACCGUGUACAAGUCUCCUGGGAUGGAGCGUCAUAGAGGGUGAGAAUCCCGUCUCUGACACGGACUACCAGGGCUUUGUGGUACGCUCUCAAAGAGUCGAGUUGUUUGGGAAUGCAGCUCAAAAUGGGUGGUAAAUUCCAUCUAAAGCUAAAUAUUGGCGAGAGACCGAUAGCGAACAAGUACCGUGAGGGAAAGAUGAAAAGAACUUUGGAAAGAGAGUUAAACAGUACGUGAAAUUGCUGAAAGGGAAACGCUUGAAGUCAGUCGCAUUGACUGGGGAUCAGCCUCGCUCUUCUGCGUGGUGUACUUCCUGGUUGACGGGUCAGCAUCAAUUUUGACCGCUGGAAAAAGGCUUGAGGAAUGUGGCAGCUCCGGCUGUGUUAUAGCUUCUUGUCAUAUACAGCGGUUGGGAUUGAGGAACUCAGCACGCCGCAAGGCCGGGUUUCGACCACGUUCGUGCUUAGGAUGCUGGCAUAAUGGCUUUA
rnacentral:rRNA from 2 species